rnacentral:rRNA from 1 species
UAGGGAAUAUUAGAAAUGGACGAAAGUCUGAUCUAGCGACACCGCGUGUGCGAAGAGGGCCUUCGGGUUGUAAAGCACUUUUUGGAAGGAAUAGGAAGGAAGGUACUUCCAGAAUAAGUCUCGGCUAACUACGUGCCAGCAGCCGCGGUAACACGUAGGAGGCAAACGUUAUCCGGAUUUAUUGGGCGUAAAGCGCGUGUAGGUGGUUCUGUAAGUAGGGCGUGAAAGCUCCUGGCUCAACCGGGAGAGGCCGUUCUAUACUGCAGAGCUAGAGGAUGGUAGAGGGAGGUGGAAUUCCAGGUGUAGCGGUGGAAUGCGCAGAUGUCUGGAGGAACACCAGUGGCGAAGGCGGCCUCCUGGACCAUUCCUGACACUCAGACGCGAAAGCUAGGGUAGCAAACGGGA